UGCGAAGGUAGCAUAAUCAUUAGCCUUUUGAUUUGAGGCUGGAAUGAAUGGUUUGACGAGAGAUGGUCUGUCUCUCCGAUUAAAUUGAAGUUAAUCUUUAAGUGAAAAAGCUUAAAUGUGCUUGGAGGGCGAUAAGACCCUAUAGAUCUUUACAUUUAAUUCUUUUGUUUUGCGGUAGGUAAUUAAACAGAGUAAAAUAAUGUUCGGUUGGGGCGACGGUAAGAACAGAAUAAACACUUACAACAUAUACACAUCAAUAAAUGACCACUGAUCCUUAGAUGAAUAAAGACCAAGUUACCUUAGGGAUAACAGCGUAAUUCUUUUUGAGAGUUCAAAUCGACAAAAGAGUUUGCGACCUCGAUGUUGGUUCAGGGACCCUACUGGGUGCAGUAGCCUAGAGAGGCAGUCUGUUCGACUGUUAAACCCCUACG
rnacentral:rRNA from 1 species